CCAUGCACCUGUUUAACGGGACCGAUGGCUGAGUCCAUGGUGAAGACAGUUGGCCCUGGCUUGAUUAAAGGCUGCUUUCCCUUAUACCAACUUUCCAUUUAUUUUCUUUGUUCCAUUUGGGGUUUUUUGUUUGUUUAAGAAUUCUGGAAUUCUAUUCUUCAGGACAAUACACCAGAGGAAGAUUCUGGAUGAGGUAGGACUUUCUUCGGGAAGAGGCCAAUUUAUAAGAGACCCAGGAAGGAGAACAAGCCUGAUGCUUUAAUCAAGCUCAUCAGGCAAAUCUACCUUUCACUGGAAUAAACAUGACAAUUAAAAAUUAACCUAGCCAUCUGAUGAGCUGCCACUCAGGCGUCUUUCUGACAAGAACAGACAGAACUCAUCUGGGAAGAAAGAGAAGGAAGAAAAUAUUUUUCAGAAGCCCUUUACAUGCCGAGCCUGUGACUGACAUCUGA
rnacentral:lncRNA from 1 species